AAAGACUUUGUCAUUAAUGCCGAAAUGUUACUUGCAAAGAGAUUUUCUUCCACAAAAGAAUUGCGCAGAUUAACUAUUUAUGAUUUAGUCGUCAGUGUUUGUCAAGAUGGCGUGAUAUGUUCAUGUUCAUAUAGAUGGAUGUUGGAUUUAUUGGUGUACUUUAAAAAUUAGCGGUUAUUUUGAAGGUAUAAUGAUGGACGACUCUGAAAUAAAGGAGCUUAUUAUUCUAACUGGGAAAUAUGCCACAAUUUAAAGCUGGGACAGAAUGAUAUAAUAUAUAGAUAGCUUCAGAACAAUAUUAAGAAAGGAGUUAUUAACCAACUGCGGGGCCUUCCAGAAAUGGUAGAACUUCAUACAUUGAAUUGCUGAUAUACAAAGUGCUAUAAUAGCACUUUUGUUAAUAAUUAACAAAAGAAGGAAAAUUUGAGGAAGUUGGAUUUGCCUCUCCAUCCUUUUAUUGUUGUGUAGAAGCCAGUGGUUUAAGAGUGGAGAAAAUAUUUGUAUGCAAUAAUAACGUUUUAUAUCUUUUUUU